rnacentral:rRNA from 1 species
CAGUCGCCGCGGGAAUACGUAGGGUGCGAGCGUUAAUCGGAAUUACUGGGCGUAAAGCGUGCGCAGGCGGUGCUGCAAGACCGAUGUGAAAGCCCCGGGCUUAACCUGGGAACUGCAUUGGUGACUGCAGCGCUGGAGUAUGGCAGAGGGGGGUGGAAUUCCACGUGUAGCAGUGAAAUGCGUAGAGAUGUGGAGGAACACCGAUGGCGAAGGCAGCCCCCUGGGCCAAUACUGACGCUCAUGCACGAAAGCGUGGGGAGCAAACAGGAUUAGAUACCCCAGUAGUCCCUGUCUCUUAUAA